rnacentral:rRNA from 1 species
GACAGAGGGUGCAAACGUUGUUCGGAAUUACUGGGCGUAAAGCGCGUGUAGGCGGCUUUGCAAGUCGGGUGUGAAAUCCCACGGCUCAACCGUGGAAGUGCAUUCGAAACUGCGAGGCUAGAGUCCUGGAGAGGAAGGUGGAAUGCUUGGUGUAGAGGUGAAAUUCGUAGAUAUCAAGCGGAACACCAAUGGCGAAGGCAGCACUCUGGGACGUGACUGACGCUGAGACGCGAAAGCGUGGGGAGCAAACAGG